UGCUCUGGUAGCUUAACAGUAGAGCACUGGUUCUCACCAAGGGUGGCGGUGCGAUUCCGCCCAAGGGCAA
rnacentral:tRNA from 1 species